AGGGGCUUAGGAUAACUAGACCAAGGGCCUUCAAAGCCCUCAGCGGAGGUGAAAAUCCUCCAGCCCCUG